CGUUCUCAGUUCGGAUUGUAGGCUGCAACUCGCCUACAUGAAGUCGGAAUCGCUAGUAAUCGCGGAUCAGCAUGCCGCGGUGAAUACGUUCCCGGGCCUUGUACACACCGCCCGUCACACCAUGAGAGUUUGUAACACCCAAAGCCGGUGGGGUAACCUUUUGGAGCCAGCCGUCUAAGGUGGGACAGAUGAUUGGGGUGAAGUCGUAACAAGGUAAC
rnacentral:rRNA from 1 species